GAUGAACGCUGGCGGCGUGCCUAAUACAUGCAAGUCGAGCGAACAGACGAGGAGCUUGCUCCUCUGACGUUAGCGGCGGACGGGUGAGUAACACGUGGAUAACCUACCUAUAAGACUGGGAUAACUUCGGGAAACCGGAGCUAAUACCGGAUAAUAUAUUGAACCGCAUGGUUCAAUAGUGAAAGACGGUUUUGCUGUCACUUAUCGAUGGAUCCGCGCCGCAUUAGCUAGUUGGUACGGUAACGGCUUACCAAGGCAACGAUGCGUAGACGACCUGAGAGGGUGAUCGGCCACACUGGAACUGAGACACGGUCCAGACUCCUACGGGAGGCAGCAGUAGGGAAUCUUCCGCAAUGGGCGAGAGCCUGACGGAGUAACGCCGCGUGAGUGAUGAAGGUCUUCGGAUCGUAAAACUCUGUUAUUAGGGAAGAACAAAUGUGUAAGUAACCAUGCACGUCUUGACGGUACCUAAUCAGAAAGCCACGGCUAACUACGUG
rnacentral:rRNA from 1 species